ACUACGGGGUGCAGCAGUAGGGAAUCUUCGGCAAUGGACGAAAGUCUGACCGAGCAACGCCGCGUGAGUGAAGAAGGUUUUCGGAUCGUAAAACUCUGUUGGUAGAGAAGAACGUUGGUGAGAGUGGAAAGCUCAUCAAGUGACGGGAACUAACCAGAAAGGGACGGCGAACUACGUGCCAGCAGCCGCGGUAAUACGUAGGUCCCGAGCGUUGUCCGGAUUUAUUGGGCGUAAAGCGAGCGGAGGUGGUGUCUUCAGUCUGGUGUAAAAGGCCGUGGCUCAACCAUUGUAUGCAUUGGAAACUGGUAGACUUGCGUGCAGGACAGGGGAGUGGACUUCCAUGUGUAGCGGU
rnacentral:rRNA from 1 species